AAUAUCUCUCCAUCCCUGCUUACGGUGUGGGCAAAAAAAAAAAAAAAAAAACAGACCCACGAACUUCCCUCGCUACCUCCGUCUCUCCCGAUGCAGGCCGCAGGCUGCUCCCUCCUCCAUCCUCCCGACGCCAUAGCAAGGGCAACGGCAACGGCGCCGGGCGCCAGCCGCGCGCCGCGGUUGCCCUCAUCCUCCUCCACCACCUCGUCCUCCUCUCUCCCCUCCCCUUCCUCUAUCUCUCUCUCCCCUGCCCUCUCGAUGCGGCGGUGGGCGGCGUCGCCAGCUCGUGCGGCUGGCCUGAGGCGGCGCGACGGCGGCUCCGCUGCUCCUCCUCCCCCCUCGCAUCCUCUCCCUUUCUCUCUCACCACGAACGCAGCCACGUCUGCUCCGCAGAAGCCCUAGGUGCCAUGGUGGGCUCGGAUCUGGCCGCGGUGAUCCCUGCCGUGCACUGCACCGCCAUGGCUGCCUCUGACGUUUCUGAUGGUUGUGUCUCCUCUGUUCAAUUCGUUUCUUGGCAUCUCCCAAGCGAAGCAAGACCAUCCCUUUCCUCUGUAUCGAUCCUAUUGCAGUUUUCUCUGUGUCCCUCUUAUCAUCUGUACUGCAGGUUGAUGGAUUAUAAUGUGUGUCUAUGGUGCUGCUUUAAUUAUUUUAGUCUGAGCAUAUGCCAUUGCUGAUGAUGUAUGUAUUGCAGUUUGAGCAUAUGAUGAUGACUGUGAGGUGCUUCUAAUAAACCUGAAAAUAUUUUUGUGUCUUUGCUAUUUUGCAUUUUUUUGGGUUGACCAUAUGUCAAUGUCAAUGAAGCUACAAACAGAUAUCUUUUUCUAAAAUAUAUGAUGCGGUCUUUGCUAACAUGAACUUCGAGUGAACCCUAGCUGCUUCGCAGCGUUAGACAAGAGUAUGUGGUCAUGAUUAUCACUCAUUUGUGACUUUUUUGUUUGCCAUUGCGAGUCAUUGGUUCCUUUAUUUCAAACCUGACUUUUUGCCCACUCAUGUCAGCGGCAAUGUUGCUUUACCCAAGUAUCUUCUUCUGAACUAUACCAUGUAAGGAUACACAUUAAUGAUUACCACCGUAUGUGUUUUAUGAAUUUUUUAUUCUUAUGAUCUUUUUAUUUCCAUAUGUUUUCAUGGAUACUGCUUUCUUCACUUCAGUUGCAGUUGUCGUGCGCUCAUGGUGCCCAUGUUGGUGUCAAAAGUUAUGGUGGUUCGAUUCUGGUUCUACGGUUGCAUUUUUCCCCUGUCGCUUUCCACUGUGACAUCUAAACGUGCUUCUAUGUCCUCUAUCUACACCACUGCCUCUCGCCCUCCAACUCUGCUUUGUAUUCCUCUCUCCCAACAUGGUGCCACCGUAAUGGGAGGUUCUCUGCAUUUUUAUGUUUUUAUUCAAUUCCACUUUUUUAAAGCUGAGGCAUUUGGCAUAUGGAGUGAUAUGAGCCACUAUAAAUAUAUGGGUCCUUUUUUGUAUUCCUAAUGAACUGAAGCACUUUGGCAUGUGCAAUGAUGACCUACGUUUCCGUGACAACAAUGCAAUUUUGCUUCCCACGCCUCAUUGCUAUAUGAAAAAAAUCAUUGCGAUUCAAUACUAAGGUAUGUGCCUUGUUUGCCUGUUACGAAUUUGGUUUUGGGUUCCAUUGCAUGUCGUAAUUCAAUCCUAACAACUAAGGGAUGAAGUAUGCCAUUAUUUUUGGACUAAAGGUUAAGGCCAGAGAAGGGUUUGAUUCAAAUUUUGUACAGAUCCAUCUCCUACAGUGCAUCAAUAAAAAAAGGGUCAGCCUUGAAAUUGUUUGCCUAGGUGGUACCAAUAAUAUCUGUGCUUCAUUCAGUUAAGAUUUACUAUCUUGUGUCAUUGGCUCCUCCAUUUGGUUUUGGGUAUGAUAUUGUCCUAUUAAGUUUACCUAGCAAUAUUAUAUAAUCUUGCUUGGUUAUCACUGUCUUUGAGUAGGGAUUCUUGGAUUCAGUUCCUUCUUUAAAAUUUCCAUCUCUAUUUAGUAGUUGGUAUGUUGGUAUUAAUGUUAGUAUGUUUGAUGCGCUCCUGCUCUAAAGCUAACGCUACUUCCUUAAGGUGUAGCAUGUUAAAUUAUUUGAUACUAUGUCAUCUGUAUUUUCUUAAACAGUAAAUUUUAUUAGCAAUUUAAGAGCUGCAUCCUACUGCCUCUAUUGUAUAAAGAACAAAGAAUACUUCUUCCUUGGCCUAACCCUAGCUCUUAUGCUUGAGGACCUUGGCUGCAUCGCGAGCCGCUCCUGGCGGCGUGACCGCGCAGCCUGAUGACCACGCUUGCAAGUGGCUUCUUCCUUGCCAGCGGCAACCACGCAUUUCCUCGCCCUAUCCAUGGGCUGGUAAGGUGCUUGCCAAGGCUCGCUCUCCUUCAUUGUGCACGCCGACUCAUAUGCACAUGAACUGUGCACCUGUGUUUGAAGAAACCCUAGCUAGCUGAGUCAUCUCCUACGUGUCGACACGCGUCAACAGCGCGAGGAGCAGCGGCAUCAUGGUGCGGGUGGCAGUGUCGCCGUCGGGACGCUAAGGUCAAAACCCACGCAUGAUGUGCCACAAAAUAAACCCGCACAUGAUGGUGUACAGUUCAUGCCCAUUGUGUCGCCUUGGUAUGUGAAAUUUGUUGUAGUUAUACUUUGUCAUCUACACAUGAAUACUGGGAAUUAGUGUUUCUAAAUAGUCAAAUGUUUUCUAUGUUUCAUAUAUACAGGGGAUAUAUUCUAGCUACAUGGUACAAUUUUUGCCUUUUGGGUACUGUGCUCAAAUUAAGUGGUUCCUCUAUCGGUUCGAUCUGUUAUUUGGGGCUAAACCGAAUCCAACUUCUAGCUUCUCAAAAAUAGGAUGAUAGUGGCAGAUUUUCCGGUGGCCAAAUGAAAAUCUUUUUAGUUAAAUCUGCAUGCUUUGAUUUAAAAAAUCUAGCACCUUUACCAGGAAUCAUAGAUGCCUAUAGAUAUCAACUAGGAAUGAAACAACUGCAAUGUAGUGCCGUUGCCAUACACAAGACAAUACCAUGGCUUCCUCGAUCAUACUGAUCGAUUUCCUAUAUAUCUUGAGAACAAUGGAAGUGUGCUUUGCAAGCAAAGGGUCAAGGAAAUGCCAAAAAAAUCCAAUCUGAAUUCUACCUAGCAAAUUCUAAUUCUUGAAUUUAGCAGAGUUAGUGAGCCAUAUGAUGGCUCUAGAGAUCUAUGGCUGUUGAAAUUGUAGUGAUGAUUGUGUUACCAUUUCUGUUUCAUACUUCCAUGAUAUACAUUCAUACAACCAGCAAUUUGAAUUGAACACGGAAGAAUCUCAAUUAAUUAAUGUUAGGACCUCUAUCCUCGUCAUUUAUGUAAUCUGUUCUACAUUGAGUCCUAUAGUAUUUUAAGCAUCAGAUCAUAGCAGGUAAGCAUCUAUGUAGGUAAGCAUCUAUCUGCUUUCUCCACUUUACUCUGCAGGAAAAGAUGUUCAUGUAGAGGGCAUGCACUUUAGAUGCCUAACGUAUAGUUAUCUUUUUCUCUGCAUAUAUGCACAUAGUCCACUACCUCUAAUUAAUGUGUUUUUUUGUUAAUACUAAAAGGUGAGCCUGCACAUUUGUGGCUCAAAAAUGUCUUGGUUAGUGGAAAUACUCUAAAUCUUUUUUUCUAGGAUUGGCUCUACAAACACUCUAAGAAUCAAGCAUAUCUCUCAACAGGUCCACGACUUUGCUUCUUCUGUGAUUUUACUACUACACUUUCUAUAUUAUCAGGAUGUGGUUGCUUCGUUGUUUUUCAUAUUAUUACUAUAUUACGUCUAGAUUGUGUUGAUCUUGGCAUGCAUAUUAGAGUUUGUCAGUUCCACUUUAAUGAAAUUUAAUUGUGUGGGUUUUUUACUCAAAAUAUGAUUUCUUUAGUUUCGUGGAAAUUGUGCAGCUCGCCUCUCUUUGACACUACAGGCCAAAUGCCAUUGUUUUCAUUUAACUGCUUAAUAUCUCUUUGUCAUCACACACUCAAACUAUUCUAUAUUUUCAGCUUCGGAUUACGGCUAAUUUUACCUAUGCCUCUUACAAGGUUUAAACAUUCUGUUAGAACAUCAAACUUGAUUGACCUCUCUUUCACAUGUUAACUGAAUAUUGCCAAUAGCCUUUACCAUUUUCUCAAAUUUUUUCUUGUGUCUUUUUAUUGCGGAUUCAGGGUAUGAAAUUUUCUAGGGUAUCUAAACUGUAGACUAUCCAGGUAGAUGCAUUAGAAAACUGUGUUAGGACUCAGGAAAAAGAAUAAUAUUGAUCGGUACAAAAUUUACCUAAUACAUAAUUUUCAUGUGCCUAGCUGUUCAGUUUUACUAGAGUAGUUCUUGGUGGAGCUGUUUGAAUGGAAAUUCUAUGUGUCUUCGGUUUACCUAGAAUAUGAAUACAAAUCACUAUAAAUUCUGGGCGCUGGUCUUCCAGAUCUUUAUACUCACCACAGGUUACUAUCUUUUUUACAGGGUUAUUCUCUACUUCAAUGCUUCAAUUCUUAUUGUUAUAGGAGUUUGUUAUGACCCGUGACACCAGGCCAUAUGCUUACUGGGUUAUUCUCUAUACUACUUUGUGGCUUGUGCAUCGAUAAGAAUACCUUCACGAUAGAAUGUGUGAAUUACUGAAAAAAAAACUCCCAUUGUAGAUGAAAAAAAUAUUCCAUGUUCUUUAUGAUUGAUUGUUGUAUGACUACCUUUGGUAAUUUGGGGCUACGGCAAAAUCAGAUCUACCUUUUCAAAAAAGGAUGGUGAAAAUCCUAAAAUGAAAGUUUUGUGCUUCCGUGCAUUAACUGCAUUUUGAUGCUGCUUCUGCCUUUACUUCAUUACCUCCUGGUGUCCACAUAGAGUUGUAGACUAUUUCAAAAGGUGAUAUGAAUAUGCAUCCUCUAUACAAUCUUUCGACUUUUGGUCAGAUCCAUUUUUUUAUUUUGCUUUCUAUACAUCAGGUUUCUAGCUCAAAGCUAACAUUUCCUAAAUUACAAAGCAUUUCGAAUGUCAUCAGAGAGUAAUGCUCUGAAAAGGUAGAGCACCUGCCAGUUAUGCUAAAAUAAUAUUCUGGACUGUAAAAAUAUGUGCUAGCUGUACAGUUCAAUCUUGAAUUUUACAAAUGAAAAUAUUUCAAUGAUUCAUUGUACAAAUAUGCGGUAAUGAAAUUAAAUAUUAUUACAGGAUGCUUGGCCUAUUAUGGUUUCUGAACAAUAAUCUUGUCUAUAAAUGAAUAGAUGAGAUAGUCUCAUGGUGACCUCACCUACGCUACUUAUACCAAAAUUGAUAAUGGUUAAAUAGAUAACUAGAUCAUUGAUCUUUGUUCUUUUAAAAUGCCAAGUUAGGUUGCAUUCCCUACUGUCGAUUUUCUUCGAUUACGUGUUUGUUGAAGGAGACACUCAAAUUGCUCCUUGUAUAAUGCAUUCCUGCUCCUUAUAGGACUAUUCUCGUAAUCAUAUUAUUAUUUUGUCUUUAUACUGAACAUAUAGUGGGAGAUUCUACGUAAAGGUGGGAGGCCAUUGGUCUUUGCUACAUAAAUUUGCACAGGCAUCGGAAAAAAAGUUGUUUUUUAGAAUACAGCGAUUUAAGGUCUGUUCAUUUCUUAGAAUUAACCUAUUUGAAAUCAUUACAAUAGAUUUUGAUUCUUUAAAAUUGGUGUGCAGGGCCAUGGGGUGGAUACAAGCUAUACAUAUGGAACCUCAGAGGCUAAUAGUCUAUGCUUUUAUUGCCUUGUAAGGACAUGAUGCAGGUAAUGGUAUGUUGAGGUUUGGUAGGGCUGCACCAAACAAUUGAGUGGAUGCUGGUAACAUCUAUCCUGUUGUAAUCCCUCCUGAUAACAUCUAGAAUUAAAUUUCUUGAUGGUUUCCCCUACUUAGGUGUAGAUUUCCCUUGCAGUUCAGUACCUCAACAGUAUAGUUGCUUCCACCAAGUUUUUAGCUAGGUUAUUUUGGUUAAUGCUUGCCCAUGUUUUUUAGAAUGACUUUUAUUCUUGUGCGUGAAUUUUGGUUCUAGAAACAACAUCAUCAUUCCGUAAGUGAAUUUUGAGAUAGCACUUUGAGAUAACAAUGUCAUUUUAGUUAUUUAUUGUCCCCUUGCAGUUCUUGAUUCCUGGGCUACCGUUGCAUGUCUUGAUUCCUGGGUUGCCGACAAAAGGAGAGGGGUUCAGGGCGGCAUGGAACAUGGAGGACGCAAGCCUGAAGGAGCCAGGUUGUCGCAGAAGUUAAUGGGAAGACAAUCUCCUCCUCGUACCUUGCACUGGCUAGAUCCGGUGAGAAAAAAAGACUUCGCCUUGCUCGGCAACUCCCUCGCGCUCCUCUAGGCCCCCACGCGGCUGCUGGGUCGCCUGGGCUCAACGCUCGUGACCGCGUGGGGCGCCUGAGCGCCACUGCAAGGUGGCUCAACGGAGCCACAUGCGGCCAACCCUGCGCGAGCUCCGGAAGAGCGGCCGGGCGGCGGACCAGGUCAGCCGGCCACGCGCGCCCCGUCGACGGCGCCCCUCGGCUCCGCACGCUCGUCUGCUCUUCUCUCUCAGUUGCAAGGGGUGAGAAAGAGAGGAAAAGUAAAGCUAUGUAUUUUCUUUGAUAGUGGCGGCUGAUUGAUUUUAUUCCCGGCAAGAGCAUCCUCAGCCAUCAGAUUGACAUCAACGGUUUAGAUCAACCCAACACCUAAGUGGGCCUGCGGGGCAGCGUGCACCAACGCGCUUGAGCGGCCCAGGCUCAUGUAGCCAAAGUUAAAGCUAGCUCGGAAGUUUAGCAGAUCUGUUUGUCAUCCAAUCUAAUCAAAUCUAAAUGUUUCUCCAA